CAAAUAAGGAUCAAGAAUUUUCAUCUGGGCAGAUAAGGAUCGAGAAUUGUUGUUUGCGCAGAUAAGGAUCGAGAAUUGGAGAUCAUGGCAUUGAGAGAAGGUAGAAAGAGAUCUACUUGAGUGGAUUGAGCUUGAACAAUUGCAGUUCUGGCAUUCGUUGCUUUUUAUGGAUCAAAUCAGUUCUUUCUUUGCAGAUAAACUUCUAAGGAUUGUUCACGAUACCAUUCUCCAUAUGACAAGACAUUAAAUUAAAUCAAAACUCAUAGGGUUUGUCUUGAUGUUUUUCCUAUUAUUUUUUGGUGAAUGUUAAAAUAUGAUUUGUGGAUAUGUUUUUUUGUGGUUAAUAGUGAUUGGAUAUUAAAUUGAAUUGGAAAGUGCACUAAUACUGUAUUUGCUA